rnacentral:tRNA from 1 species
GGCCUCAUGGUGGAAUGGUAGACACGAUUGAUUCAAAAUCAAUUGCUCUUUGAGUGUGCCAGUUCAAGUCUGGCUGAGGCUACCA